ACAUCUUGGAUAACAUUUUACCCACACAAAUGAAAUUAGUGAAGGAGAGUCGCGUGACGACUGGAUGGACGUCGUCCUGCUCCUGAACACAACAACAACCCUUAAAGAAUUACCAGGGUAACUGCAGUCUCCACUUAAAUACCAUAGAUAUGCACUACAGCUUCUGUCUGCUGGCCACACAUCCCUUUGAGUGCUCCAUCAUCAUAAUCAAUGGCAGGUUGAGCCGGCUGGGGUUUGAAGACCUUUACACAAACACUGUUUGUUUUACUUCUCCACGGCCAUGGAGCUCGGAAGAAAGGCUGCCAUCCUGUUGCCCUGUUCAAGCACUGGUGCAGAGUUGAGGUUGUCUGUGAUAAUCUUAUCGAGCUAUGAUGGCGAGCGGACGGGGACAAAAGAGGCAGAGGCACGAUGAAGGUCUGAUGGGUUGCUGAUUGCAAAGCUGUCCAGCGAAGAGACAGUUGCCAUGGAAAUGAUGAAUGACAUGUGUCCCACCUGAUAGGACGGGCACAGCAGUGGAGUGAUGAAUAGGAACAUUUGUGUGUGAGAGAAGAUGAACAGCUUUAGGGCUUUUUGGUAGCAGUUUUCAUCCCACACACACACAAUGAACAAGUACAAUUACUUUAAUACCAAGGAAUCUAAGUUUCAGUGUGGGCAGUUCAAAUGUUUUAGUACAUGGUUCUAAAAUGACCAUUUAGUAAAAUUUAUGUCAACCUAGGUUAAAAAUGAAUAUGAAUACAUACAUUUUAUUUAGCUUUUAUUAAGCUUUUAUUAUUAUUUUUUUUUAAUCACAUUUUUUCUUUCCAUAGUUUAUUUUAAAGUGAUG